rnacentral:rRNA from 1 species
UACGUAGGGGGCAAGCGUUGUCCGGAUUUAUUGGGCGUAAAGAGCGUGUAGGCGGCCAGGUAGGUCAGCUGUGAAAACUCGAGGCUCAACCUCGAGCUGUCGGCUGAAACCAUCUGGCUAGAGUCCGGAAGAGGAGAAUGGAAUUCCUGGUGUAGCGGUGAAAUGCGCAGAUAUCAGGAGGAACACCGGUGGCGAAGGCGGAUCUCUGGGCCUUACCUGACGCUCAGGCGCGAAAGCUAGGGGAGCGAACAGG